AGUGAACGCUGGCGGUAGGCCUAACACAUGCAAGUCGAACGGCAGCACAGUAAGAGCUUGCUCUUACGGGUGGCGAGUGGCGGACGGGUGAGGAAUACAUCGGAAUCUACUUUUUCGUGGGGGAUAACGUAGGGAAACUUACGCUAAUACCGCAUACGACCUACGGGUGAAAGCAGGGGAUCUUCGGACCUUGCGCGAUUGAAUGAGCCGAUGUCGGAUUAGCUAGUUGGCGGGGUAAAGGCCCACCAAGGCGACGAUCCGUAGCUGGUCUGAGAGGAUGAUCCGCCACACUGGAACUGAGACACGGUCCAGACUCCUACGGGAGGCAGCAGUGGGGAAUCUUGGACAAUGGGCGCAAGCCUGAUCCAGCCAUACCGCGUGGGUGAAGAAGGCCUUCGGGUUGUAAAGCCCUUUUGUUGGGAAAGAAAAGCAGCAGGUUAAUACCCCGCUGUUCUGACGGUACCCAAAGAAUAAGCACCGGCUAACUUCGU
rnacentral:rRNA from 1 species